rnacentral:siRNA from 1 species
UCUUAGCUAAAGCGGAAAGAUGG